UUGCCCACGGCAGCCUGCCACUAUUGCUUCUUUCACAACAGGUUUCUCUGAUCCCUUCCCAAAAGCAGAGGAUGAAAAACGCUGCCAACACUCUCCCCUUCUGACGGUCUCCAACCAAGAUGGCUUAGCAGCCUGCCUCAGAGACCAUUUCUCAGACACGAUUCUCUCCAUCUUAUUAUCUUCAGUCUGGAGGGAAUCCUCUGGGAGCAUUUACAGACCUCAGGCCCUCCAACUGCUCUUGCAGAAAAGCAGUGGGGCUGAAGGCACUCCACACCUGAGUCACCUCAACACCGACUUUUGGGAGAAACUGUACCACCACACCUAGACAAACCACCCACAAAUAUCCCAAGUAAAUGUGAAGGUGAUCUAUGCCGUCUUCCCGGACGCAUCUGACUCGUAUUAAAUUUUCCAAUAACAACAGCUACUCCAAAUGGA